rnacentral:rRNA from 1 species
UACCGAGGUCCCAAGCGUUGUUCGGAUUCACUGGGCGUAAAGGGUGCGUAGGCGGUCGGGUAAGUCUGAUGUGAAAUCUCACAGCUUAACUGUGAAACUGCAUUGGAUACUAUCCGGCUCGAGGAAUGGAGGGGAGACUGGAAUACUUGGUGUAGCAGUGAAAUGCGUAGAUAUCAAGUGGAACACCAGUGGCGAAGGCGAGUCUCUGGACAUUUCCUGACGCUGAGGCACGAAAGCCAGGGGAGCAAACGGG